GAAACUUAAAGGAAUUGACGGAAGGGCACCACCAGGUGUGGAGCCUGCGGCUUAAUUUGACUCAACACGGGGAAACUUACCAGGUCCAGACAUAGUAAGGAUUGACAGAUUGAUAGCUCUUUCUUGAUUCUAUGGGUAUUUUUGGUGGUGCAUGGCCGUUCUUAGUUGGUGGAGCGAUUUGUCUGGUUAAUUCCGAUAACGAACGAGACCUCAGCCUGCUAAAUAGUGUGCAUAUUCGAAAGAAUGUGUUCGACUUCUUAGAGGGACAUUUCGGUUUUACCGGAAGGAAGUUUGAGGCAAUAACAGGUCUGUGAUGCCCUUAGAUG
rnacentral:rRNA from 1 species